AGUGAACGCUGGCGGUAGGCCUAACACAUGCAAGUCGAACGGCAGCACAGUAAGAGCUUGCUCUUACGGGUGGCGAGUGGCGGCCGGGUGAGGAAUACAUCGGAAUCUACUUUUUCGUGGGGGAUAACGUAGGGAAACUUACGCUAAUACCGCAUACGACCUACGGGUGAAAGCAGGGGAUCUUCGGACCUUGCGCGAUUGAAUGAGCCGAUGUCGGAUUAGCUAGUUGGCGGGGUAAAGGCCCACCAAGGCCACGAUCCGUAGCUGGUCUGAGAGGAUGAUCAGCCACACUGGAACUGAGACACGGUCCAGACUCCUACGGGAGGCAGCAGUGGGGAAUAUUGGACAAGGGACGCAAGCCUGAUACAGCCAUACCGCGUGGGUGAAGAAGGCCUUCGGGUUGUAAAGCCCUUUUGGUGGGAAAGAAAAGCAGCAGGUUAAUACCCCGAUGUUCUGACGGUACCCAAAGAAUAAGCACCGGCUAACUUCGUG
rnacentral:rRNA from 1 species